GAUGAACGCUGGCGGCGUGCCUAAUACAUGCAAGUCGAGCGCAGAAGGUAGGUACUUGUUCCUACUGGGUGAGCAGCGGACGGGUGAGUAACGCGUGGGGAACCUGCCUUUGAGCGGGGGACAACAUCUGGAAACGAAUGCUAAUACCGCAUAAUAACUUUAAACACAAGGUUUAAGUGUGAAAGAUGCAAUUGCAUCAAUCAAAGAAGAUCCCGGGUUGGAUUAGCUAGUUGGUGAGGGAAAGGCUCACCAAGGCCAAGAUACAUAGCCGACCUGGGAGGGGGGUUCGCCAAAUUGGGAAUGAGGAACGGCCCAAGACUCUUACGGGAGCAGCAGUAGGGAAACCUCGGCAAUGGAGGGAAGGCUGGACGAGCAACGGCGCGUGAGUGGAGGAGGGUUUCGGAUCGUAAAACCCUGUUGGUAGGGAAGAAAGUAGGUGGGAGUGAAAAACGCAUGAAGUGACGGUAACUAACCAGAAAGCGACGGCUAACUACGUG
rnacentral:rRNA from 1 species